UACAGAGGGUGCAAGCGAUAAUCGGAAUUACUGGGCCUAAAGCGCGCGUAGGUGGUUUGUUAAGUUGGAUGUGAAAGCCCCGGGCUCAACCUGGGAACUGCAUGCAAAGCUGGCAAGCUAGAGUACGGUAGAGGGUGGUGGAAUUUCCUGUGUAGCGGUGAAAUGCGUAGAUAUAGGAAGGAACACCAGUGGCGAAGGCGGCCACCUGGACUGAUGCUGGCACUGAGGUGCGAAAGCGUGGGGAGCAAGCAGG
rnacentral:misc_RNA from 1 species